CCAGCUGCAACAUCACCCGCUGCGGACAGCAAUGACGACUUCGAGUCACCGCUUCCAGUACCAUUCGCGGAAGUUUAAAAAAAACAACCUACAACAACUGAUACAACACACCGUGACUCCGCCGACGACGACUUCGUGACCCAACCACCAAUCACAAAUCCAGCAGCUGCCAAAUCACAGCCGGUCCGCGACGAUGUUGACAAAGAACCCCAACAACCAGACGGAAAAAGACGUAAGUCAACAACAACUAGGAGGAAGUCGACCAGACCACCGGCGUCAUUUCCAUCAAAAAAAUAUGAGCCAUUCACUGGGCCAAAAAUUAAACUGAAGACGUCUUCGGUUAACCUUGUUAUAUUGGUCAACAACCUGAAUAAGGCGCAAAAAAAGAAUGUAGCAGAAAUGGGGUUCGAUCUGUUGUUUAAUUUCAACAUAUGACAUGUACCGACCCGGCUUGCAUAUUGGUUGGCAAGCAACUAUGACGACAACGCAGGAGUGUUGAACGUUGGCGAAAACCGUGUACGGGUCACAGGAGAGUUGGUGCAUAAAAUAUUCAGAAUACCAAUAAGGGGUAUAAAUAUUGUAGAAAAAAUCAGAGCACGGGACUGCAAUCCAGUUGUGAAGGAAUGGAGGGACCAGUUCAAGGAUUAUACUAAAGUGUCACCACUCGGACUGAUGGACAUGAUGGUUUCCGACACUUCAAGUGACCGGGUGUUUGGAUUGAACUGGUUGGUGUUGUUUAAUAAUGUGUUGGGGGAGAUAAGCGCAUGCAACAGAGUUAAUUAGCGAUUCUUGGGAUGCGUGGACCGAAAUAUUCAAAUAUCAAGCUUUGAUUGGUGCAGCUACAUGAUAACCUGUUUAGAACGCACAGCGAAUGCAUGAAACCGGAAGAGGAAUGGCCCUUUUAGAGGCCCGAUCGUGUUACUAGCGGCUGCAUAUGCGUACGACCGUAGGGAUGUAUUGAACUGUGAUAAGAAAGGAUCAAAAUCGAUUGAGUUGAUAGAUGAUGCGAUGCUCGAUGAACUGCUCGGAAAGAUUGACGACAAACUUUUUGCAGAACACCUAAAGCAUAACACCCCAAUGAUACCUAAACCUCAUGUAGAUAAAAAAAAUCAUCAUCCACCAACGCUAAAAAUGCAGAAAGGGCAGCUGAAAAAAGUGCGGGAGACAAUGUGGAGGGGGCAACGAAGACUACAGACCGUACGAUGAAGGGGAUGACGACCACCUGGGAAUAUUCAAACAUUGCAAAGAUUAUCUGUUGUCGCAGACAAGUACACAAGAGUUGGGGGUUUUAGUUGGGCCAGAUGGCGAGUUUCGGGUCCCAAUGGUAUCACAGUAUGGGACGUCGCCCGUCUCGUCAUAGGAAGAAAAAGAAAGUGAAGAGAUACAGAACUUGAUAAACUUUUUAACAUUUGGAUCAUGCGCAUAUUCUGGAUGAUGCAUUUAAGGAAUUUGAAGAUUGCAUGGAGAAGGUCAAAAACACACUGUCAGAACCUUAACAUUUGUACCCAAACAGUGACCUCAUAUUGAGUAGGAAAGCGUCAUGGAUUGCGAUGGUCCGCAAACAUCUGAAGGACGUUGCGAAUGAUGCGGAAGGCGAUGUUAUGUCAGAAAAAAACCCCACACAUGUCAAGAACACUGGAUUGUUGCCUCAAGGUAAUCUAACUCCUUUCUCGCCCAUGACUUCGUCGUUUUGCGCAGAAGUGGAUGAAUUGAUAUCUGCAAUACAAUCCAUACGACACCCAGGCACACGAUCGAAAGCUGGGGGCAUCCAACCAGUGAACUGGACAACGUCCCAACAACGUCAAGUAUUCGUGACACUGAAAAUGAAGGAAAUGCUUUAUUGCAAUAUAAUCUCCGGAGGCCAAAAAGAAACACAAAUCUUCCGGAUACGCUGAGGUCUCCGUACGUGCAUCGUGUGGUUUCCUUAACAAAUAAACUGGAUCAUUUGGAAGCUGCAUUGGCUAGCUGUAUACUCAGCGCAACAGGAAACAAAUGGGAGCCUAUAUUCGAUUGCCCACCAGGUGUUUUGAUUUUGAGAGGCUCGUUUGAGACGAUCUACCCGGAAUUAUGCUUGGAUGCAGAUAUUAUAACAGCAUGGGCUGCCGUCCUUAACUACGAGGAGCGGUUAAGGGCACCGGGUACCGCUGCAAGGCUGUUUUGCAAUGUCGGGAUGUUGGUAAUGCACGUAUCACACUUUAUAACACUAUAUGAGAAUGUAGGAUUGUAUAUAACAAUACAACACUAAAAAAAGUUAGUACACUGUGUGUAGAU